GAUGAACGCUGGCGGCGUGCCUAAUACAUGCAAGUCGAGCGAACAGACGAGGAGCUUGCUCCUCUGACGUUAGCGGCGGACGGGUGAGUAACACGUGGAUAACCUACCUAUCAGACUGGGAUAACUUCGGGAAACCGGAGCUAAUACCGGAUAAUAUCUUGAACCGCAUGGUUCAAUAGUGAAUGACGGUUUUGCUGUCACUUAUAGAUGGUUCCGCGCCGCAUUAGCUAGUUGGUAAGGUAACGGCUUACCAAGGCAACGAUGCGUAGCCGACCUGAGAGGGUGAUCGGCGACCCUGGAACUGAGACACGGUCCAGGCUCCUACGGGAGGCAGCAGUAGGGAAUCUUCCGCAGUGGGCGAAAGCCUGACGGAGCAACGCCGCGUGAGUGAUGAAGGUCUUCGGAUCGUAAAACUCUGUUAUUAGGGAAGAACAAAUGUGUAAGUAACUAUGCACGUCUUGACGGUACCUAAUCAGAAAGCCACGGCUAACUACGUG
rnacentral:rRNA from 1 species